ensembl:misc_RNA Metazoa_SRP Metazoan signal recognition particle RNA
GCUGGGCAUGGUGGCUCAUGCCUGUAAUCCCAACACUUUGGGAGGCUGAGGUGGGCGGAUCACCUGAGGUCGGGAGUUUGAGACCAGCCUGACCAACAUGGAGAAACCCCAUCUCUA